CACAUACUACUACCGCACUAUCUCUUUUCAUAAAUAAUUUCGAAACAAAUCAUUACUGUCAAGAUUGCUAUUUAAAUAGUAAAAUCACUAUAAAAAAACUGUAGUGGUUUUUCUUAAUGAAAAUAAAUUAUUGUGUUGUUUUACAUAUACACACUUCUAUAACUUACUUUAUUAUGUGUAUGUGCGCCUUUUUUGGACUGCUCUUUUACAUUCGAAAUACAAAUCAUCUUAUUCCAGAGUAUUUUUCAUGAAUAAAAAUUCGAUAUUCGUACUAAGCAGAAAUAUCUAAAUGGAUUAAACUAUGUAUAUAUAUAAAUGUUUCUUUCUUCUUCUUGAAAUUUUCUUGACUGCUAUUUUUUUGAAAAUUUCAACCGAACUCUUCUUAAGUAAUAACUCAACUAUCAUUUCAUUGUAUACCGCAUAUUCUUAUUUUAUGAACAUUGAUAUGAAUAUUCAAUGCUCAAACUGUACUUGCACUGGAUCAUUAUAUUAUCAGGAAUAUCUUUUUCAGUUAUCCUAUUUUUUUAAUAUAUUAUUAAUAAACUAAUAAAUUGUGCCGUUAAUAACACAAUACAUUUCAUGGAAUAUGCACUAGAAUUGUUAGAAAAUACAACUUACAGAAAGCAGCCCCUUUUUUUCUUCUUUCCAUUGCAUGCAGCAUCCUAUCUUAAAUGUGAGUUGAUGUAUUUUCGAAAUACUUCGUCUCCUUUCUUUAAUAUUUGCCGGUCAAAUAAAUGUUCGGUUGAGGGGCCGUAUUUUUAGACCAAGUCCAGACUCAUCGACCCAAAGUAAAAACAGUUAUUGAGUAAGGAGGCGUAAUUUAUAGUAAAAUCUAACGCAAAUGUGGGACUGAAUAUUUUGUCUACAUUUGUGGAAACAUCGAAAUUUAGAACAUUUCUAAAGUUGCACAUGGUUUUAAAGAUUUUUUUACGUGUGGUUGAAAAGAAUGUAUUAUUUCAUUCGUAAAUGAUUUUAUGGAUAUUAUAUUUUGAUAGCAGCUUCAUGCUUGCUCCGCUCAAAAUAUCUAAUUGAAAGACAGCCAUUUUAGUCAUAAAUGUUGUAGAAUCUGCUCAGAGCUUACCAAGUUACUCUCAACGCUAUAAGCAGAAGUAAAAUGUACACAAAAAGAAAUCCCAAGUAAGUAUUGCGGUUUCUCAGAGUUGAGAUUUUUUUAUUUCACGCGCUUAAGAAAUCAUUUCAAGUUGUAGUUAGGAUUAAUAGAUCUGAUAGAAGUAUAAUCGUUACAAAUAGACCGCCGAGGCAAAGCGAGCUUUUUUUUUCAGAAAACUGACAAUACUGGAGCCAAAUUAAACAAGCGUUUUCUAGUUGCAAGCUUCCUGAAUUAGUAAAUUUAAUUGCUAUUACGGCUGCGAAUUACAUGUAAAAACUUUUAAUUAAUAUUAUUUGCGAAGUUGAUUCAUUUUGUCACUAUCAAUAUCGUCUAAUUAAAACAGAAAAAAAAUAUUUGCCAUCGCAUACUAGUUCUUCUCUUCCCAAAACAGAGGUUUGGUAUUCAUAAAAUGACUACUGGAAUAUCCAAUAUAUUAAACUCGGAUAUUAAACAUAAAAAGCAGGGUUCCGGACAUUCAAUUUCCAAGUGAGUUUGAACUUUAUAAAU
rnacentral:lncRNA from 1 species